AGAUGCCAUUUUAAAUGUAGCCGUAAACAUUAUUGUGAAAAUUCAUGUUUUGAGAUUUCCCCAUAAAUUGUAUUGCAAGAGUAACUCACCUUUGAAUAUACUCUUCUCUCUGGGAGGUAGAAUUGUUUUGUUGAUAAAUUUCGAAGGAGGGCAUGGAAUUUUGGUUGUGGUGCACUCUUGGAUAUGUUUUAAUUGAAACUUACGGAAAAUAACAGCAAGAUGCAGAUAAAGGAAGAAAGCACUUUGGGAGAUUCUGUCACUGAUUACAAAGCAGUGGCUUUAAAUCCCUGUGAACACCACACUUUACUAUGGAAUUACCUUAGGUUUUUGAUCUGUGUCUGGUAACAGGAGAAUGCUUAGGAAACUUUGAUCUUCAAGGCAAAGGGUCACAUUUACAGUUACUAUUAAUGAGCUGAUGAGAUAUUAAUGAUAACAGAGCUGAUUACGGAUUAUAUUGUAAAAUGGGGAGUAGGAGGAUGAUAUGCCUGAUAUCAUUGUGAUACUUGAUUGAAUAGCAGAUAUCCAGAGAACUAUACAGAAUCUGAAGGUGUUAUGAGACUUAAUUGGGACAUGCUGGUGUAAAAUGGAGUAUCAGGGAACAGUGGGAUCAUUUAAAGAAAUGUCUGCAUGGAAACUAUUGUACUCAUACAUGGGGUGAUCUAUCUAACCUUGUGUUGGACCAGUGUUCUAAAGUUGAAAAGAAAUUCUGUCAGAUUCAAACAAGAAGAUAUCUAGUUAUUCAGGAAGAUUUCAUUAAUUUUUUAAAGUUUGUUUUUGGAAAGAAAAAUCAAAAUAUCAUUCUUGCAAUCUGCAUUUAUUUAGAUAGUUUUUACACAUUACCAGCAUCAUUCACUGCCAAUACGCCUAUGGUUAUCUUUAUCUAUGAAUAUGUUGUAAAGUGGUCUGUGCAGGCUUCUAUCAUUUGAUGAGGUGAUUGUUCACAGCCCCAGGUAGAGAACUUUGUUACAGAGUGUGUGUGUCUAUAUAUAUAUAUAUAUAUAUAUAUAUCAGUCUGAUGUGUGACAUUUUCCUUGUAGUAUUGUCAAUUGUCAAAUGAAUAUGAACAUUAAUUAACAUUGAUGGAAUUGAAUUGAUGCAGCCUGUCUUGUAAGUUUAAUUUGUGUGGACAAUUUCCUGGUUGGUGUGUUAUUGGUAAAUAUUGCUGCUGGAGUCUUGACAAACUAUGAACCAGAUGGUCAGCCCUCGACAUUUAGCAUUCUUUGAGGGUCAGUGACUUUUUAAGUAUACAAUCCUAGCCCUGAUUUAUUAUCGCAAAGUUCUAGGAAAAUAAAAAUAUGAAAGCUUA